AGAGUUUGAUCCUGGCUCAGGAUGAACGCUAGCUACAGGCUUAACACAUGCAAGUCGAGGGGCAGCAUGAACUUAGCUUGCUAAGUUUGAUGGCGACCGGCGCACGGGUGAGUAACACGUAUCCAACCUGCCGAUGACUCGGGGAUAGCCUUUCGAAAGAAAGAUUAAUACCCGAUGGCAUAGUUCUUCCCCAUGGUGGAACUAUUAAAUAAUUUCGGUCAUCGAUGGGGAUGCGUUCCAUUAGGUUGUUGGG
rnacentral:rRNA from 1 species